rnacentral:rRNA from 1 species
GACGUAGGGCGCGAGCGUUGUCCGGAUUUAUUGGGCGUAAAGAGCUCGUAGGCGGCUUGUCGCGUCGACUGUGAAAUCCCGAGGCUCAACCUCGGGUCUGCAGUCGAUACGAGCAAACUAGAGUGUUGCAGGGGAGACUGGAAUUCCUGGUGUAGCGGUGAAAUGCGCAGAUAUCAGGAGGAACACCGAUGGCGAAGGCAGGUCUCUGGGCUGUAACUGACGCUGAGGAGCGAAAGCCAGGGGAGCGAACGGG